rnacentral:misc_RNA from 1 species
AAGUCGUAACAAGGUUUCCGUAGGUGAACCUGCGGAAGGAUCAUUAACGUAUCUACCGGCGUCGUGUCGAUCGCCCCGCUCCGGCCCUCGCGGUCGUGCAGCGGGCGUCCCGUCCGCGUCGAACCUUCACAAACCCACUGUGCACCUUUGCGGGGGAGGCUCCCGAGCGAGAGCUCGGUCUGCCGAAGCCGCCUUUACAAACUCAAAGUCUAACAGAAUGUCGAGCGACUCUCGUCGCCUAAUCAACGAAAUAACUUUCAACAACGGAUCUCUUGGCUCUC